UACGGAGGGUGCGAGCGUUGUCCGGAAUCACUGGGCGUAAAGGGCGCGUAGGCGGCCUGAUAAGUAGGGGGUGAAAUCCUGCGGCUUAACCGCAGGGCUGCCUUCUAAACUGUCAGGCUGGAGCACAGUAGAGGCAGAUGGAAUUCCGGGUGUAGCGGUGGAAUGCGUAGAGAUCCGGAAGAACACCGGUGGCGAAGGCGGUCUGCUGGGCAGUAGCUGACACUGAGGCGCGACAGCGUGGGGAGCAAACAGGAUUAGAAACCCCCGUAGUCC
rnacentral:rRNA from 1 species